CGCCCGUCUUGGGCCCGCCCUUCCGGGCCCUGCCGCGUUGAGUGGCGGAGUCGGGAUCCAGGUGGCCCGCCGGCCGGCUCAGUCCACCGCCCCGCUCCCGACCUCGCGCCCCACCCCUUGGAUGAGAAAACUGAAACUGAGAGGGGACGUGACUGAUCCAAGGCCUGGCCUUUCCAGCUCCGGAGCCCGCCACAAGAAGCUCCUAGCCCCACAUGAUGUGAAUGCAUUGGGCCCCAGC
rnacentral:antisense_RNA from 1 species